AUCAUUAAGGAGUAUUAGACGAGGACCGCCCCCGGGCACCUCGCUCUCCCCAACCCUUUGCUUACCACCCUCCUUACUUCGGCGGGCGCAGCGGUUCACGCCGCGAACCCGCCGGCAUUUUCAAAACCACAAGUUGUAACAGUGCCGUCUGAGCGUCUUUUACACAAAAGAAAAUAAAAACUUUCAACAACGGAUCUCUUGGUUCUGGCAUCGAUGAAGAACGCAGCGAAAUGCGAUAAGUAAUGUGAAUUGCAGAAAUUCAGUGAAUCAUCGAAUCUUUGAACGCACAUUGCGCCCUCUGGUAUUCCGGAGGGCACACCUGUUCGAGCGCUAGUUAAGACAAUUCAAGCCUUGCUUGACGUUGGGGACUUCGCCCUACCCGCCCCCGCGGCGGGACGGGGCGGCCCCGAAACCCAUGGGCGCCGCCGCCCGGCUCCGAGCGUAGCAAGCGAAAGCCCUCGCUCCGGACCGCUGGGUCGGUGGCCGCCGGUAAACCUUACUUUUACCACAAUCUUAGCCUCGGAUCAGGUGGGGAUACCCGCUGAACUUAAGCAUAUCAAUAAGCGGAGGAAAAGAAACCAACAGGGAUUGCCUCAGUAACGGCGAGUGAAGCGGCAACAGCUCAAAUUUGAAAUCUGGCGCCUUCGGCGUCCGAGUUGUAAUUUGCAGAGGAUGCUUUAGGCGCGGCGCCGACCGAAGUUCGUUGGAACACGACGUCAUAGAGGGUGAGAAUCCCGUAUGCGCUCGGCGCGCGGCCGCCUAUGCAAAGCUCCUUCGACGAGUCGAGUUGUUUGGGAAUGCAGCUCUAAAUGGGUGGUAAAUUCCAUCUAAAGCUAAAUACCGGCCAGAGACCGAUAGCGCACAAGUAGAGUGAUCGAAAGAUGAAAAGCACUUUGAAAAGAGAGUUAAAAAGUACGUGAAAUUGUUGAAAGGGAAGCGCUUGCGACCAGACUCGUCCGCGGGGGUAUCGUUCGCCGUCAGGCGGGCGAGCUCGCCUCCGCGGCCGGGCCAGCAUCGGUUUGGGCGGCCGGAUAAAGGCCCUGGGAACGUAGCCCUCCUUCGGGAGGGUGGAUAGCCCAGGGUGCAAUGCGGCCAGCCCGGACCGAGGACCGCG
rnacentral:rRNA from 1 species